rnacentral:rRNA from 1 species
AACGAACGCUGGCGGCGCGCUUAACACAUGCAAGUCGAACGCAUGCUUGAUCUUCGGGUUGGGCAUGAGUGGCGGACGGGUGAGUAACGCGUGGGAACCUGCCCUGAGGUUCGGGACAACCGUGGGAAACUGCGGCUAAUACCGGAUAUCUCCUUUGGGAGAAAGACUUGUCGCCUUGGGAGGGGCCCGCGUCGGAUUAGCUUGUUGGUGGGGUAACGGCCUACCAAGGCAUCGAUCCGUAGCUGGUCUGAGAGGAUGAUCAGCCACACUGGGACUGAGACACGGCCCAGACUCCUACGGGAGGCAGCAGUGGGGAAUCUUGGACAAUGGGGGCGAACCCUACGAUCCACGCGACGCCG